rnacentral:rRNA from 1 species
AGAGUUUGAUCCUGGCUCAGAUUGAACGCUGGCGGCAGGCCUAACACAUGCAAGUCGAGCGGAAACGAGUUAUCAAAGCCUUCGGGUGGAGAUAACGGCGUCGAGCGGCGGACGGGUGAGUAAUGCCUGGGAAAUUGCCCUGAUGUGGGGGAUAACCAUUGGAAACGAUGGCUAAUACCGCAUAAUAGCUUCGGCUCAAAGAGGGGGACCUUCGGGCCUCUCGCGUCAGGAUAUGCCCAGGUGGGAUUAGCUAGUUGGUGAGGUAAUGGCUCACCAAGGCGACGAUCCCUAGCUGGUCUGAGAGGAUGAUCAGCCACACUGGAACUGAGACACGGUCCAGACUCCUACGGGAGGCAGCAGUGGGGAAUAUUGCACAAUGGGCGCAAGCCUGAUGCAGCCAUGCCGCGUGUAUGAAGAAGGCCUUCGGGUUGUAAAGUACUUUCAGCAGUGAGGAAGGUGGUGUCGUUAAUAGCGGCAUCAUUUGACGUUAGCUGCAGAAGAAGCACCGGCUAACUCCGUGCCAGCAGCCGCGGUAAUAC